rnacentral:lncRNA from 1 species
UUGGAGCAUGCAGAGCCUCUUCUGAAAGUUACAAUUGUUCCUCGUGGAACAGCUGCUUUAGGCUUUGCACAAUAUGUCCCAAAUGAAAAUCUUUUGAUGACAAAAGAGCAGCUUUUUGAUAUGACAUGCAUGACAUUAGGUGGCCGAGCUGCAGAGGAGGUACAGUUAUCUUUAUUCAUAUCUUAUUUUUGCUGAUUUUUAUGAUAAAUAGCCAGAAUUCAUGGAUGUUUCUCAUACUGUUAAAUCUAUACUAACCAAUUCAAGCUAAUAUAAAGUUUGAACUUUGAAUUUCAGCUGUUAUUUUGAACUUCCUACAUUCGACAAGGACAUUAAUUAUAGCCUGUUUCGUUGAUAUUAUCGCCACUUAAAUUAUGAUCAGAUCAUGUGAAUAUGGUCAUAGUUGUCAAUUUAGUAGAAAAAUUAUAAUUCAUUUGGUAACUCAGGAUACUGCAUCAUGUAAACUUUUGAUUGCAUUUUAAGGCGACCAGAAGACGAUAAUAUUUUCCGUCAUCUCCUCUGCCCAUGUGAUAAACACAUUGAUAUACCAUUACAUUUAUCAAAUUGGUUGCCAUCUAAAUAUUGUAUAUAAUCUCAAGUUAUUACUUCAAGACAUCAUAGAAAUAAUAAUCAGUUCCCUGUCUUCCAAAUCCUUAUGUUGGGAUAUCUGUUUAUUUAACAGUAUUAUCACCAGAAAUUGUUAUAAGCAUAUUGUUGAAAGGCGCUAAUUGAGCUUUGUUUCAGGUUUUGAUUGGCAAAAUCUCAACUGGUGCUCAGAAUGACUUGGAGAAAGUUACCAAAAUGACAUAUGCACAGGUCGCUGUGUAUGGUUUUAGUGAAAAGGUUGGGCUUCUAUCCUUCCCUCAGAAGGAUGAUGGUUUUGAAAUGACCAAGCCUUAC